GACGAACGCUGGCGGCGUGCCUAAUACAUGCAAGUCGAACGAGUGGAGGACGGGUGAGUAUAGUCUGGGAAACUGAAGGAGGGUGGGGGGUAACAACUGGAAAAGGUAGCUAAUACCGCAUACCAGAGGAAGGGCCGAGAUGGGAUUAGAUAGUAGGUUGGGUAACGGCUCACCUAGGCGACGAUCCAUAGCUGGUCUGAGAGGAUGACCAGCCACACGAGAACGGAGACACGGUCCAGACUCCGACGUGAGUCAGCAGUGGAGAAUAGUGCAUAAGGGGCGCAAGCCUGGUGCACCCAGGCCGCGUGUAUGAAGAAGGGCUUCGGGUUGUAAAGUACUUUCAGCUAGGAGUCGUUACUCUCAGAAGAAGCACCGGCUAACUCCGUGCCAGCAGCCGCGGUAAUUC
rnacentral:rRNA from 1 species